AGGGUGUUAGUCCAAAGCAAGACCUCUGAUUUCGGCUCAGAAGAUUGUGGUUUAAGUCCAUGACCCCCUU
rnacentral:tRNA from 4 species